UACGAAGGGGGCUAGCGUUGCUCGGAAUCACUGGGCGUAAAGCGCACGUAGGCGGAUUGCUAAGUCAGGGGUGAAAUCCUGGAGCUCAACUCCAGAACUGCCUUUGAUACUGGCGACCUUGAGUCCGGGAGAGGUGAGUGGAACUGCGAGUGUAGAGGUGAAAUUCGUAGAUAUUCGCAAGAACACCAGUGGCGAAGGCGGCUCACUGGCCCGGUACUGACGCUGAGGCGCGAAAGCAUGGGGAGCGAACAGG
rnacentral:rRNA from 1 species